AAAAUAAAUCUCAAAUCAAUUAAAAAAUUGAUGAGAAUAUUUUUCAUAGAUCCAUCAUCAUUCAAAUAGGUUAGGAAAAUACUUUUGUAUUUAUUGAAUAACAGAAUCUAUUUAAAAUGAAUUAAAAAUAACCAGAAAAGAGAAAAUCCACAAAAAAUAUCAAAUGACAAAAUAAAAAAUAUUAAAAUUCAUAUUUAGAAACUAGAAUUUAUUUGGAGAAGAAUGCAAUUGGUCCCAUAUUUUUUGGAUUUAA
rnacentral:lncRNA from 1 species